rnacentral:piRNA from 1 species
GAGCAUGUGUCCUUGUUAUGUGUUGGAGC